rnacentral:rRNA from 1 species
AACAGGAUUAGAUACCCUGGUAGUCCAUGCCGUAAACGAUGAGUGCUAGGUGUUGGAGGGUUUCCGCCCUUCAGUGCCGGAGCUAACGCAUUAAGCACUCCGCCUGGGGAGUACGACCGCAAGGUUGAAACUCAAAGGAAUUGACGGGGGCCCGCACAAGCGGUGGAGCAUGUGGUUUAAUUCGAAGCUACGCGAAGAACCUUACCAGGUCUUGACAUCUUGCGCCAACCCUAGAGAUAGGGCGUUUCCUUCGGGAACGCAAUGACAGGUGGUGCAUGGUCGUCGUCAGCUCGUGUCGUGAGAUGUUGGGUUAAGUCCCGCAACGAGCACAACCCUUGUUACUAGUUGCCAGCAUUAAGUUGGGCACUCUAGUGAGACUGCCGGUGACAAACCGGAGGAAGGUGGGGACGACGUCAGAUCAUCAUGCCCCUUAUGACCUGGGCUACACACGUGCUACAAUGGACGGUGCAACGAGUCGCGAACUCGCGAGGGCAAGCAAAUCUCUUAAAACCGUUCUCAGUUCGGACUGCAGGCUGCAACUCGCCUGCACGAAGUCGGAAUCGCUAGUAAUCGCUAGUAAUCGCGGAUCAGCAUGCCGCGGUGAAUACGUUCCCGGGCCUUGUACACACCGCCCGUCACACCAUGAGAGUUUGCAACACCCAAAGUCGGUGGGGUAACCUUUUAGGAGCCAGCCGCCUAAGGUGGGACAGAUGAUUAGGGUGAAGUCGUAACAAGGUAACC